rnacentral:hammerhead_ribozyme from 1 species
GUACUGAUGAAGAGUCCCAAAAUAGGACGAAGCAUCUGCCCAGUAC